rnacentral:rRNA from 1 species
UCGUGCGGCGGGCGAGCGGUGGGGAUAAUACGGAUGAGUCAAUCGUUAUCGGGAAGUAGUGGGCGUUCAGGGUGCGUAGGUGGCGUUGUAAGUCAGAUGGGAAAUGCCGGGGCUCAACCUCGGAAGUGCAUCUGAUACUGGCAUUCUUGAGUAUUGGAGAGGAGUCGAGAAUUCACGGUGUAGCAGUGAAAUGCGUAGAUAUCGGGAGGAAUACCAAAGGCGAAGGCAGGACUCUGGAUAAUUACUGACACUGAGGCACGAAGGCUAGGGGAGCGAACGGGAUUAGAUACCCUGGUAGUC